GUGCUCACUUCAGCAACACAUAUACUAAAAUUGGAACAAUGAAAAGAUUAGUAUGGCCCCAGUGCAAGGAUGACAGGCAAAUUUGUGAAGGGUUCCAUUUAAAA
ensembl:snRNA U6 U6 spliceosomal RNA